rnacentral:rRNA from 1 species
UACGUAGGGGGCGAGCGUUGUCCGGAAUGAUUGGGCGUAAAGGGCGCGUAGGCGGCUUUGCAAGUCAGUAGUGGAAGUCCAUUUUUCAAGGAUGGAAGUGCUACAGAAACUGCGGAGCUUGAGUGCAGGAGAGGUUAUCGGAAUUCCCGGUGUAGCGGUGAAAUGCGUAGAGAUCGGGAGGAACACCAGUGGCGAAGGCGGGUAACUGGACUGCAACUGACGCUGAGGCGCGAAAGUGUGGGGAGCAAACAGGAUUAGAUACCCGGGUAGUU